AGUUGCACGUCUGUGGGUGUCUCCAUUCAGAAUAUACUGUAUACGAGGCGUUUUGAGGUCCUUGUGUAUGUAAAGUGCUAUAUAAAUGUAGUAUUAUUGGAUGGGUGGCACAAUUGUAAGUAUCUGGAUCGUGCAAAUGAGACAAGAGGUGCACAAUCCGACACGGAUAAAUUGUUAGUACUCCGGACCAGAAGGCGGCAGACUCGCUGUACAGAAUCACUUUUAACAAAUACGCAGGAUUUUCUGCGGCUGCAUACUGCUGAGGGACCUGCAUGGGCGACUUUGCCUGCCGGCGAGCGAGCGGCGUGCGCGAGUGUGUUGCCAUGGCGACGGGACGCGGCCGGGUCUUCCGGAACUACAGGCUGGGCUUGGAGAGGCUGCGGAGCAGCGGCGGCGCGCCGCGCGCUGGCCCGCACGAGCGCCUGCAGGCGCCUCCCAGAAGCCCUCACAACAGCAGCCAAGUAACUCCCAAAGUGUUGCCUUCCAAGCCAAAAGCAUGUGGAAGAUCCAAAAUCUGCAAAACCCCUGCUGCAACUUCUCAAGUCCACAUUGAAAGCCUGCCUUCUGAGAUGCUGUUGAAGAUUUUAGCCUAUGUAGAUGCAGCUUCUUUGCUCUGUAUGGGCAGUCUGAACAAGAGGUUUCACACUCUGGUGAAUGACAACUCUCUGUGGUACCGGCUGUAUUCGAGGGAGUGGGGGGCACAGAAGUGGAGGCCCUCCGAUGAGGUGGCGGAGGCUCUGGGCGCGGCCUCCGUCAGCGAGCGGCCGGACGGGUACUGGAAGAGGCUGUACUUGAGGAAGGUGGCGGUGAGGAGUGAGAACAGGUGGAGGAGCCAGCUGAAGGCCGUCAGCCCCUACACGGGCCUGCCCAGCCACACGGAGCAGGUGCUCAGGAGCCUGCACGUUACAUGGGAGAUCUCAAUACUGGACAAGAGAGGACGAGAGACCACUUUUGAGCAGUCCUACGCCUGCUUUUUUGAGUCCUCUGUUGCUGUGUGUUGGAGAAGCACGUGCUGGCCGUUUCUCAAGAAUGUCUCCACGCUGCAGCUGCACGGAGUUGCACGCGAUGGGCCUGUGAGCAGGAGAUCUCUGGUUGCAAAAUAUGACCUGGAUGGCGUUCGAGGAAAAUUCAUCGGCUCUGAUAAGCUUGUCAAUAUGCUGCAUAUUCCUCCGGGGCUCAUUGUUGGAGUCUGGCGGGGGCAGAUGUCAAUAGCCUUCUUCAUGGUAACCCUUCACUUUCACAAGUUAGUGGAAAGAAGCAUCCUGGGAACCUCUGUAUGCCCCUACACAGCACCAGUAGAGAGGUGUCCUUUUGAUGAUGUUGACCCCAACUAUGGUCUCCAUGGUUACACACUGCACAUCUCACUUCACAGCAGUGUAAAGCAAAUGAUGUCUGGGCAUUUCACCCAUUUGUUCUGCAGGAAAGAUCAGAUCCGCAAUGGGUUUAUACCAUUGAGGGUGAUCAGGAGGAAUGACAUGUCUCAACACACUUCCAUCUCUGGGAAAAUCAACACGCCCUGGAAGACUGAGGUUUUAGAGGGAAUUAUCCAGAACUGCUGUAUGGUGAGCCUGACCCUUCUGGACGAAGCGCAGAACCCGUUCUGGUGUGUCAGCACCCCGGUCUCCCUGCAGCUGUCCAGCCAGGAGUCGGUGUCGUAUGACUACAUGGGGGAGAACUAUGUUGUCAGUCAUGGGGACGCGGACGGCAGGGUCCUGAUGGAGCUGGUGUGGCUGGAGGAGCAGGGCCAGUUCUUCCUGGUGCACCUGGUGGUUUCCAUGGCCACCGAGAAGGUCAACAAGCACUUUGGAAGAGAGUACUGACUGACGCCGGAGACAGGAAUCCGAUGAUGCCGCUGAGGCAAAAGAGAAUCAAAACCCGCGAAGGGCGCUCUUCCGGAUCGGAGUUGAGGCGAGCGAGGAUCGUGGCAUACCUUCGUUUCAGUCAGGAAGGCUGUGUCAAGAAUCUUUAAAAGCUACCAAACACUGAGUAUUCACAAUGUGUUUAGGUCACUUUUUUGCCCUACCAAAGCUUAAAGUACCCGAAGAGGUGAAGGAAAAGGAAGGAGAAGGAAAGAGGGUCAGGGGACUCAGGAUUUUGGAGAAAAAAAAGGGAAGCAGAGCCAUUGGAUGAGAUACAGGAAGGGGGAGAAGAUGGGGAGAGCUUAUGAGGAUUGUCAGUGGACUGAGUGGCUGAUUGAAAAUAAGAACAUUUGUCAGGUGCGAGAGCUGAAGAGCAGGAGGAGCGCUGGAGAUGCUAGGCAGCAGGCAAUUUAGAUCUGCGUUUCUUUUUAGCCAGGCACAGCUGGAUUCUGGCACAGCAGAGCUUGGGGGAGAUCCAGGGAAUACGCUGUGUAAUAUAGGGAAAAGGGUCAUUUUAAUUAAAAAAGUUUUAGCAGAUUAUACGUAAGUUUUGUUUAAUGAAACUAAACAGUCCCAACAUAUCCUACAGUGAACAAAAUUAUUAUAAUUAUGUGAUCAAGCUUUACAGCCAUUUUUACAAUGUAGUGGUUUAGGUAAUCACCACUGCAAACUGCUAAAUAUUCAUGUAAUUGCUGUCGCAAUAAGAUGCUAAAAGUGUAUUUCUUGGUUAUUAAGAUUCCAUAAUGCAAAAGGUAAUUUUCACAUUGGCAAGACUCCAAAUUGAUACUUCGCUCAGAAAUCCUUCUUGUGUUAUGAAUUUAAUAAGAUUGUAAUCCUGAGUGGUUCUGACAGAAAAACAGUGCAUAAUGUUCAUCGUGAUGAUGGCCUCAUGCUGCUCAGACAUUAAUUUAACAAACACCCCCCAAUUCUAUGCCUUUAUCCAGCUACAGACACGUAUUUCCAGAAAAGGUGAAUUUCUGGUGGUGAAAUGAUAUAGAGAUCACCCACAGUCUAUAGUAUCUCGUAUUGUUGGCCACCAGGUCUACACAACUUUAAGUGAAACAUUACUUUUUAUUCUUAGUAUAUGUGUUAAAGCUUUUUAUGUUGUUUCUAUUAGCAGAAUUUCUAGAAUUUGUGGCAAAAGGAUUCUAAAAGAUCCUUGUAGUGCAUACUUGCUUAUUAUUAGUGCAUAACAUUCAAAGAUAUGUAUGAAAAAUAAUAUAGAUGAUUUAUAACAUAAUAAAACCAGUGCUUUAGAGACCUUGUUCACUGGUUCACAACAACAAACAGAUUUCUAGUCUAGUUGUUAACAAUGGAAAAACUCCAAGCUACUUAUGUCUAAGGCAAGAAGUUAUUUUGAGGCCAAAUGUUUUCUAUAAAAAGACAGCAAAACCAAUCUGAAUUUCACUGUCUUUAGAAGGUUAAGAAAUGUCCAUAUGUACUUACAAUUGUACUGUUUGGGUACAAGGAACACACAUUUUCAACUUCUUCUGCUUGUCAAAUAAUCAAUUACACAGGUAUCCCUAACCAAUUAGGCAAAUAAGUAGAGCUUAUUAGCCCUUGGAAAUGUCACUUCGGGUAUCUCUUUCAGCAGUUAAUAUUUUAACACCCAUGGUGUUUUUAGGGUAAAAAUUGUAAAAGGUUUUCCCUUUAGUGUCCUAGGCUGUGUUUUCUACGCAAUCUGAGGAAAGGGCUGCUAAAUAAGGUAAGGGAAGUCUGUUCAGCAGUUCAUUUCACAUCAUGCAUCGAUAACAACAGCAGGAGCACAAGAUGCAACUUGGAAUAUUUACAAAUUCAAAAAGGUUGCUAGGAAACCACAUUCACCGGCCCAACAAGCAGAUUUCAGAGGCAGCAAUGAAAUCAUCAAAAAGUACAAGAAUAUUACUGCAUAAUUUUUUUCUUCUCCAGACUGUGAAUAUUAAAAAAUUACAUUCUAUGUAUGAAAAUAAAGGGAAAAAAAAGCUAUUUUAAAAGGAUAUUAAAAGAUUUCUUCAUAAAAGUAAAACAGCAUGAUCUUCUUUACCUUUGUCCAUGUACUCAUGUAACCUUUGCGUGCUCACUGACUGACUUUGUCAUGUUUCUGAUUUGUUUUUAUGAAAAGAAUAACCUCACAAGAAUGUGUCAGGCCACAGUUAGAUUUAUAUACCCCCAGGGAGGAUGGAACCUUAAUCUAGCCAUCUUCAUUGCACCUGUGUUAUGUUUCGUUAUUAGCAUUCCUCAGUAUGCUAUUAAAUGCAGUUCAUAAAAAUACAAAAUUAUGUGUAUAUUUGUGGCUGUUUAUUUCAACACAGAUUUUCCUACAUAAUUACAGGGCCCUCCAGACUGAUGGCAGAUAUGAAUAUGACAGAAAGAAUGUAAAAACAUUGAAAAGAAUUGAAUGAACUGGCUUCGUCACUCUGUUCUCCCCACUGAGAGCUGGUGUGUGGGGAGUGUUCUGGCGCACUGUGGCUGC